GGCUGGGGUACUCCUCUGCCGACGGCCAUGUGGUCUAACUUACUGGGCUAUCUCCAAUAUCAAAUGAGAGGAUGUGUCCUAACAAAAAAGCCUGUAAAGGGACUUGGGGGGUUUGGGGUGGGUCAGGAGCAGCUCAUGCUCUGCCCUCUCUAAGUGACCUGUGGGGCUUACUUUAAAAAGCCUUCAUUUCCUCCUGAUGGUUCAGCCCUCCAGCAAGCAUCCUAUAGUAGCCCGGUCACCAGGGUUCCCUCCCACCACUGAAUCUUUUCAGCUUCUCUGGGUUCAGCUCUCCCGCCUUGUUGGAAUGGGUGCUGGUCAUUUCCAUGGCCCCAGCAGACCUGAAGGUGGCUAAGGGAAGGGCUACAGCUUUGUUUUCUCUUCUGGCCCCAGGGCCUGGCCCAGGUGGGGUGAACUGGAUGUCCUUGAUCAUAACAAUACUCUCCUGCAGUCAUGAGGGGCCUCUGAUUUCAAACCACUUUAGCAGACCCCGUAGCAUUUGCUCCUCACCCUGCCCUUUGAGGAAGACAGAGCAUAGAGUCACAUCUCCAUUUUAGAGUCAAAGAAACUUGAGUUUCAAAGAGGUCAAGUAACUUGCCCAUGGUUAGUUAGCAAGGGAGACUGGUGAGAAACCCAGGAGCCUGUCUGUCAUUUUCAUUUUACAGAUGGGGAAAUCGAGGCAGAGCAUAAUGGAAACAGAGGUUAUUAGAGACAAGGUCCAGAUUAAAACCUAAGGUUCUAGACUCUUUCAACCAUAGUGACUGGACUACCCUCCCAACCUCCACAUGGUAGACACGUGUCUAGGGGACAGCUGGCUCUUAAAGAAGGUUCAGAGGUCUCAGGGCUAUGCUGGGAUGGGCGUGGGGGCUUCCAGUCAAUUUGCUGGGUUACAGCUUAUGCUAUAGGAAUUCCAGCUGUACCCUCAUGGCCCUGCCAGGGGACAGGACAUUAGUCCUGCUUGCAGGUGACAUGAGGCAGAGAGAAGGGCUGGAUGAGAACACUGCUAUCUAUUUCUCUCCCUGCUUUUCAUACCAGGCUGAGUGCGUGGCUCUGCUUUUGGCUUCCAGGAAUGGGGAGCAACAAAAGACAAGGAUAGCAGUAACUCUGGACUUGGCCACAUGACUUGUUUUGGCCAAUGGGACAUAAGCAAGCAUGAUGCCAGCAGGAAUUUGGUAAGCAUUUGCACAGUGGACUUUACCACAUGGAAUACUCAUUCUUGGGAUGUUCUGUCUCCGAACUCAAGUGUCAAUCUUGAGAAGCCCAACCUAGGCACAAGGAGAGGCCACGUGUAGGAGAACUGAGGCCCUGCCUUCAGCUCCAGCCAGUAGCCAACAUGUGAAUGAAGCCAUUUUAAAAGUGGAUCCUCCCAUCUGAGGCCUCAGGAAACAGAGACACACUGUCCUUGUCACACUCUGUCCAGACUACAAGAUUGUGAUCAAAUCAUUAAUUGUUGUGUGCUAGAUAACCGAAACACAUGUGGAUGGUCCAGGGCCUUCUGCACUGUCUGAAAAACUCAAGUCCAUUGUGCCUUUUCACACCAAAAUAGCAAGCACAUCUUACUUGUGCUUUGACACUAGACACAUGGGAACUUACUGAUGCUCUGGAAAUGCUUAUGGAUUGGCCACCUUUCCCUCCAGAACACGCCCUUCCUCUCUCAGCCCUUGUCAGGUGGUGGUAGCUUGGCUUAUUACUCUAUCAGCUCCAGGAAUGGCUGUGGAUUCUGUAGACCACACCUGCUCUCUCAUAAUUAGGCAACUGAGGACCCAUGUCCCUUAGAGAAGGGUUGAGGGGAGUGUUUGGAGGCAAGGUCUGAGUGUGUCACUGAUGGAUUCCCCAGUGCCCACGUGAAUAAGUAUGUAAUACGGGUUGGGAGAAUGAACAAAUAAAUGAAUGAGUGAUUGAAUGGUGAGUGAAAAGUAACUUACCUGGUUCAGAGCAGGAGAUCAAGGUGAGAGGGGUAUUAGGGAGUCUCCAGGGAUGGUAAGGCCAGUGACAGUCCCAGGUUUAAUGAAAGAUUGCUUCGGAAAUAUGUUUAACCCCUUUAAAAUAUAAUUAUAGUAGCGAAUAUUUAUUGAGUUCUUACUAUGUGCCAGGCACCAUGCAAAAUGCUUCAUGUAAAUUGUUGCAUUAAUCAUCUUAACAACCUUGGCAGGUAGGUAUUAUAACUUUCAUCCCAUUUUAUAGGUGAGCAAAUGGAGGCCCUGAAAGGUUAGGUAACUCGCCUGAAUGGGGAUGGUAAGAUUUGAACCCAGACAGUCUGGUGCCAGCACCCAAGGACAUAGCAAGCACAGUCUGGCAAAUAGCAGGGCUCCCACUUUCCACCCUUGGAGAAAGCUGGGGCCUGGCAUGCGGUAGGGCACAAUUUGCCAACCUUGAGUUUACCAAGUGCUCCUGGGGACUCAGGAAAGCCCAUAUUGGAAGAGAAGAGGGUGAAGGGGACGAAUCUGGGGUCCAUGUGCCAGGAACAGGAGCACUAGCCUCAGGGCUCCGAGAUGGCACUGAGCACUCUCACUGGCCACUCCCACUCACUCCUCAGAAAUGAGCCUGGCCCGUUCACACGUGUCCCUAAUGCCAGGUUCCAAGAAAGCCACCUAAAUACCUGGUAUUUGAGAUGUAAAGAGACCGGCUCUCUGUACUUAGCACUGCACUAGCUUUUCCAAUUAUAGCGCCCUAUUUUCCAAAGUCUAAAAUGGACAUAUGUUAUAACUGUCCUGGGCCCCAAGGUUUCAGAAACACCCUUAAGGCUCCUGAAAUACAAUCAUGUAUUUUUGACUAAUUCCUAAAGGGUUGAGAGGGGUUGUCUUUAACAUCUGCCAGCACCGACACAGAUCUGGUCUUUGUUUGCAAAUAAACCUGGAACCUGGGCACACCACAACCUCUGAUGGAGCCAGCUCUAUGAUGGGCUGGGCAGGGAGGCCUGAAGAACGGAGAUCCCGGGCUGGAGUGGGCGUUGGGGGAGACACAGCCCUAUCCUCAGGGAGCCCCAGUCUGAGGGAGAGAUAUAGCCUUGACUUGCGGGAGCUCCGAUGUUGAGGAAGGAAGCAGGCCACCCACAGACACCCAGUAGACCCUGGGGCAGGUGGGAAAGGGAUAAAUCCUGCGGGCUCUGCUCUCACAGGGUGGGCAGGUGGGAAGGAGGCAGGUAGGAAGGCUGCCUGGUGUUCCAGCGCAUGGAGGCAGGUGGUGCAAGUGGGUGGGGGCAAUGGAGCUGAACUUUAAAUGCUCUCUGGAGCUGAUGUAGCUUCGGGCCUGCCAGCCAGGGCAUUUUCUGUCCAAACCCAACUGUCAUUAUUAAGCAUUUAUUAUUCAAGGGAGAUGUGCUUUUCUGGUCUCAGUAUUUGGCCAGCAAACUUGGUGAGUAAAUGGACUAGAACUAAUCCUGCAGCUAAACAGUGUGGGCUUCAGUAAAGGAAAUGCUUCACUUGCCUAAUAGCUCGCAGGGAGGGGCGAGAUAUGGAGUAUCAGCCAUCUGACUGCUUUCUCCCUCAGGUGGGGAGGCAGUGGCUUGGAGGCCAGGCCUCCUGAAACUUUUGUGAACAAACAGGGGUAGAGCUGAGGUAGAGUUCAUUAGCAGAUCAAGGGCAAUAAUUAGGAGUUUAAGGAUGUCCCGCAUGGGGGCCAGACUCCUGGCCAAGCAUCAAGAGAGCUGGGUUCCAGCCAGCUCAGACCUUAGUUGGCUGACUGCUAUUUCAGAAAUUGGUAAGAACAUCCCUUCUCCCUAGAGGCCAGGGCCUGCAAAAGGAGCAGAGAGGAAAGGGAGGCCAAUCUGAGGGAGGAGGCACAGCCCUGGGGUGUGGAGCCCAGUCUGAGGGAGGAAUAGAUGAAACUGCGUUUGCAAAAAUUGGAGUAGUAAGGGAAAUCUGAUGUCACUGACUCCCUCUUGUUCCUCCCAGGCUUUCUACCAGCUUCAGCUCAUCCUUGUGUGGAGGCCAUAACAGUACCUUCCUUGAACUGAUCCCCUCCCUGUUCAAAACUUGAAACCACGUUUGUAAAGACUAGCAAAAGGUCAAGACAUUAGAAUUAUGGAAGGGGCUUGAACCAAAACUCAGCUUGUUUUUCU
ensembl:lncRNA